UGAGACCGAAUAUCCGACACAUUCUGUGUUCUCACGCCUUUGCUACAUCAUUUCAGAUGACAGUACUGAUAGUAUUUGCAAGAGUGUCUGCUGAAGAGAUUUAUUAUGACGGAUUUAUUAUUAUGACGGAGCACUUGUUGAAUUCUCUGAGUGACAUUUCUAGCUCCAUCUUGAUCUUUUGAUGUAGUGUGUAUAUCUCUGUAUAUCAUUUUAUGCGUAUUUUUAUUAAACGUGUUGUUUGAUUAGUAUCACGUUUAUGUGCAUUAAUGUAUAUAAUAAAAUGUAUAUAUGUACAAUAUGUUGCAUAUAUGUACACAAUAUUAUUUUCAUCUAUCACAUAUGUAAGUCUUAAAAUCGAGAACGUGAUUUAUGAUUAUACGUGCAUCAUAUAUAAUCGACAUUAAAUAUUUUAUAGCUGUAUGGUUAAGUUUAUAUUUUGAAAUAAUGCAAAUAACAGUAAGAUUCACCAAGGUGAAAAUUUAUUUGGCAGCACGCAAUGGCAAUGAUCACAUAUUUAGAAAACAAUUUUGUAUUGCUAUCUCUGAGAUAUUAGAUAUCUUAUUCGUUAUUUGAAUAUUGCAGAAAAACGUAGAAAUACAUAUUAUUUACGUGAUUUGAUCCAGAGUCAUUGAAAUCGAUGAAAAGAAAGACGUAAGAGAGAAUAGUGCUCUGACCUCUUGCGACAAGAAAAAACCAAAUUUGCGUAGGAGGAUCUGGCUUCUGGCCAAAGAUCGCUCUUCUGUCGGUUACUUGGCCAGUCGUUUUAAAGUGAUUCGCGAAUAGCUUAUCCUACAACCACCUACAGCACCAAGAGAAGUUAUUGUAGUUUAACUGAUGCAAUAUGCGCGUUUCGCGAGAGGCGAUAUUGAUUCGCGUGUAGUGUCACGCUGCCAUUCGAUCGAAUGAUCUUCGCGAUCCCAUGACUUUUGUUACGUGAAAAUGUGAAGUCUCUAUCAAAAAUAGAAAUUUUUAAUUGCUAAAUCCGGAUUUGUGUGUUUUAAACAAUAUUAUUAUUAGUUUAAACAAUAUUAGUGUAGUGUGUGUUUAAAUUAGAGAGACUUUGUGGAGUAUGUAAAUGUAAUAUUUUCUACGAUUCAUGGUGCAAAUGGUGUAUGAAAGCAAUAAUAACUCUUUGUUAAUAUAAUCUGUGAAUAAAAAUUAUACGUUUAUACGUGAGAUAUAAGUUCGAAAGCAGCACUUAUCGAGGAAAAGUAUUAUCAAAGAAAAAUUAAAUACAAGAUUAGUGUUGAAGAUACAAUAAAAAGAUUUUUUAUACCAUGGAAGAAGAUGUUAAUUCAGUAAAAAAAGAUAAUUACCAAAGCUGUAGAAAAGAAGAAAAGCCUAUAAGGAAACUUUUUAGAAACGCUUGGUGUAGAAUAAAGAUAUUAAGUGGUGGAGGCAAUCGAAGAGAAUCAAAUACUGAUGAAAUGCAUCCGGUCUUCUUAUCUACCAGAAACAGCUUCCACGUCUCGCCAUUAAUUCCAACCAGGAGCCAAAAUUAACUUCGCCUUUGGAGCGAAAAUGAAAAAAUCAUGCCGAUCCUUAACUGUUUAUGCUAUGCUUUCUAUUGUUUUUCUCUUAUCAUUUUAGCUGAUGGAUGACCAUAAAUAAGGCAAAACGUCAUCUGGGAAAUUACACUGCUGGAAUUCUUUAUGUACCUUAUAUAGGCUAUAAAAAUUGUACUUUUUACGAUUUCAAGUUAAUUUGCAUAAUUAAAUACAGCAUCUGAAUAUAUAGGAUCAAAUUAUAUAUUACGUAAAUUAUACCUAUAAUUUACGUUCUUAAGGAGAUAUUUUAUAUUUUUAAUAUAUUUUAAUAACUAAUUUUUCUCGAAGCUCUAAUUUAAUAUCAUUUUUCAGAUUAUAUAUUAUUGCCUUUGGUGUUUUUAUGCUUUUAGUCUUAAAAUUAAAAAAAAAAAUCAUUAUUCUUUUAAAUAUAUAAAUUUUUGCAUCUUUGUUGUCGUUGUUAAACAUUGAUAUAGGCAAAAACUAUGUGUAUACGUACAAUAUAAUGCAUUCAACAUGUAAGUUGCAGAAGCUCAAGAAACUUAGGAAUUAGCUUUAAUGAUAAUAGUGCUAAAUUUAAUUAAAUAGCAGCAAGUUGGAUCGUUUUCUGUACUUAAAGAUGCUUGCGAUGUCUCAUAUCUCAUCUUUGUUUCGCUCUCUUGGACGGAGUGCUGUAAACAAGCAACAAUCGUAUUAUAUUCUCAGGGUAAAUUAUCUAGCUCGAGGGUGCUUUUAUACAACCAUGACGAUUUGUCGGUUGAGAUCUCUGCGAAUAUGUCGCAAUCACAUGAGUCUGCAGUCGUUUACUAAGUGCAUGUUGAAUUAUAAAGAACAAUUGCUGUAUAAAAAAUUCUCGUGGGCGUAGCAAUUCCACAUAAAA